UCUACAUCUCUUUCUGUCUUCUGACUGUCUAUCCAUCCACUUCUAUCUAUUUUUCUUUCUAUCCUUCCAUAUCUAUCUGUCUUUCUUUCUAUCCAUCCACAUCUAUCUGUCUUUCUUUCUAUCUAUCCACAUCUAUCUGUCUUUCUCUCCAUCCAUACCUAUCUGUCUGUUUGUGUGAAUAACUAUCUAUUCACCUCUUCCUAUCUAUUAUCUAUACAUUCAUCCAUCCAUCCAUCUAUUCAUCUAUCUAUCUGUCUAUUCUGUUUGUUUAUCUAUUUAAUACCUUAAGCAACAGGGAGUUAAUGGUUCUUGAGGUGGGCAGUUACAUGCUCUUGUGGAAAUAUUUUGGGGAAUGGAAGCUAGAGGGAUGGAGAAUCAGAAAUGUCACUAAGCUGGAGAUGACCUAAUCUUUUUCUUAUUGCUUAGCCAAAGAGACUCAGACCUGAGCUGCUCUGCUUCAGACCCUGCAGGAAGAGGAAGAGCAAUGGAUUGCAGCUGAGGACCAGCCCAGUAGCCUGCUCAAGAUGUCUGUGAGCUGCUGGAAGAGCACACGGAUCAGGCCCCUCGCUUCAGCCAGGAAUUUGGGGUGCGGAUGGCACACUGCUGCCUGGGAGUUCUGGCUGAAUUCCUGCAGAGCUUCCAGCAGUGGGUAGAGAGCUUCCAUGAGAACCCAAGCGUCCAAGAGCUGCUGAGUGACAGUUAUAUCAGCCGGACAAUUACCUUGCUCUCUACCUGA
rnacentral:lncRNA from 1 species